GUCCAGGGUAGCCUAGUGGUCAUGGCAUCUGCUCGGUAAGCGGAAGGUCGUGGGUUCGAUUCCCAUCCCUUGACA
rnacentral:tRNA from 1 species